rnacentral:lncRNA from 1 species
ACACUGCAUCUGGGACUUCGCACUCGCCCUUACCCCUACCUCCCUUCCCACCCUCUCUUGGGGGCUGGAUCUCGGGCUUUGCAGGAGGUGGCAGAGGUCACUGAAAGGUCUAGGCUUUGCUGGGACUCUGCUGGAAUCCAGAGCAGUCGACCAUGGGGCCUUGGGGCCUCUCCCACCCCGGAGCUGCAGAAGGGAAGCUGAAGUGCCGGUUGGAGGAAGUCCCCACCCCCAAAGCCCUCCUGCAGAAUUGAACCCUCCUCCCUCUGGGCUGGGGGAGUAGGGGAGAAGAGCCCGAGAGCUCCUGAGGUUUUCUCUGGGCUAGUUGGAAAACCCGUCCUGGCUCCAGUCUGCCCUCGGCCUAGUCCAUCAGAGUCCCCACAACCAGGAACCCAGAAGAGAGCACAGGAGUGUAGAUACCUGAGGACUUCCAGGAGCCAAACAGGUGGUUGCUGCACUUGGGGAGCGCUCUGCUCGGUGCACGCGGGAUUCACUGAGAUUCGGGCCCAACGAAUUCUCAGCGGCGAGAGGGGAAAAUCCUGUCGCUUCUCAGCGCCAAAAAAAACCCAAUUCUUCCUGGAGUCUGAUACCCCUGGGAGGCCUCAUCCAGGGCCUGGGAAUCCCGGAGUGAGCGGUAAGGAGAGAACGAAAUCGAAAUCCUGAGGUUUGGAGCAGGCCAGCGGUGUGGAUAACUCUGUGGACAUCAAGCACCAGCCAACGCG